GACGAACGCUGGCGGCGUGCUUAACACAUGCAAGUCGAACGGAAAGGCCCUGCUUUUGUGGGGUGCUCGAGUGGCGAACGGGUGAGUAACACGUGAGUAGCCUGCCCUUGACUUUGGGAUAACUUCAGGAAACUGGGGCUAAUACCGGAUAGGAGCUCCUGCUGCAUGGUGGGGGUUGGAAAGUUUCGGCGGUUGGGGAUGGACUCGCGGCUUAUCAGCUUGUUGGUGGGGUAGUGGCUUACCAAGGCUUUGACGGGUAGCCGGCCUGAGAGGGUGACCGGCCACCAUGGGGACGAGGAACUGCCCCGGAUCCUUCCGGGGGCGGGAGGGGGGGAGAAUUGCCAAAAGGGGGGAGGAGUAUGACGCGACCCCGCCGGGGGGGGGAUGGCGCUCCGGGUGUUAAACCCCUUUUGCCGGUGAGAAGACGGGGGUGAGGUUAUGGGGGAAAAAGGACCCGCCUAACACCUU
rnacentral:rRNA from 1 species